AUGAUUGACGCUCGUGAAUGGCAGGUGAAAAACGAGUCCAGCAAGUUAGAAAAAAUUCCAUGUGUCAUUUUCCGCCAUCGUACAAAACCCCCUCUGCCCAGGAGUUGCUCAUCUUUAGUUCUCAGUUAUUUGUGCAUACUUUCUCAUCUGAGUAGUCUACAGGUCCUAGCCGACUCAACGUCUCUGAUAUUCUCAGAGACCUAAAAGGACAUGGAUAUGAAGCCUCUGAUGAUUCUCCUCCUGCUAGCAGCAGCUGUAACAACCACCACCCCUGCAGCAGCUGGUACCACCACCACUCCUGUAGCAGCUG